rnacentral:rRNA from 1 species
GACGAACGCUGGCGGCGUGCUUAACACAUGCAAGUCGAACGGAAAGGCCCUGCUUUUGUGGGGUGCUCGAGUGGCGAACGGGUGAGUAACACGUGAGUAACCUGCCCUUGACUUUGGGAUAACUUCAGGAAACUGGGGCUAAUACCGGAUAGGAGCUCCUGCUGCAUGGUGGGGGUUGGAAAGUUUCGGCGGUUGGGGAUGGACUCGCGGCUUAUCAGCUUGUUGGUGGGGUAGUGGCUUACCAAGGCUUUGACGGGUAGCCGGCCUGGGAGGGUGACCGGCCACAUUGGGACUGAGAUACGGCCCAGACUCCUACGGGAGGCAGCAGUGGGGAAUAUUGCACAAUGGGCGGAAGCCUGAUGCAGCAACGCCGCGUGCGGGUUGACGGCCUUCGGGUUGUAAACCGCUUUCGCCUGUGACGAAGCGUGAGUGACGGUAAUGGGUAAAGAAGCACCGGCUAACUACGUG